rnacentral:rRNA from 1 species
AGGACAAACGCUGGCGGCGUGCUUAACACAUGCAAGUCGAACGGUCUUCCUUCGGGAAGAUAGUGGCGGACGGGUGAGUAACACGUAGAUAACCUGCCCUUAUGUGGGGAAUAACCCCUCGAAAGAGGAGCUAAUACCGCAUGAGUUCUCUGUUGAUAGACAGAGAAGAAACCUCGGUUUAUACCUGGGGCAUGAGGGAGGGGUCUGCGGCGGAUUAGCUAGUUGGUGGAGGUAACGC